AACGUAGGGGACAAGCGUUAUCCGGAUUUACUGGGCGUAAAGCGCCCGUAGGCGGCCUGACAAGUUGGACGUGAAAGCUCCUGGCUUAACUGGGAGAGGCCGUUCAAAACUGUCAAGCUAGAGUCUGGAAGAGGAGAGCGGAAUUCCCGGUGUAGAGGUGAAAUUCGUAGAUAUCGGGAGGAACACCAGUGGCGAAGGCGGCCAUCUGGACGGAUACUGACGCUGAGACGCGAAAGCGUGGGGAGCAAACAGG
rnacentral:rRNA from 1 species